rnacentral:rRNA from 1 species
UGAGGAAUAUUGCACAAUGGGGGAAACCCUGAUGCAGCGACGCCGCGUGAAGGAUGAAGUAUUUCGGUAUGUAAACUUCUAUCAGCAGGGAAGAAAAUGACGGUACCUGACUAAGAAGCCCCGGCUAACUACGUGCCAGCAGCCGCGGUAAUACGUAGGGGGCAAGCGUUAUCCGGAUUUACUGGGUGUAAAGGGAGCGUAGACGGCGAAGCAAGUCUGAAGUGAAAACCCAGGGCUCAACCCUGGGACUGCUUUGGAAACUGUCAGGCUAGAGUGCUGGAGAGGUAAGUGGAAUUCCUAGUGUAGCGGUGAAAUGCGUAGAUAUUAGGAGGAACACCAGUGGCGAAGGCGGCUUACUGGACAGUGACUGACGUUGAGGCUCGAAAGCGUGGGGAGCAAACAGGAUUAGAUACCC